ensembl:lincRNA Gm20342 predicted gene, 20342
GAGUGCUGCCCACUGAUCAGCUAGACACUUUAAUGUAUGUGUUAUUUUAUUCUCUCUUCUGUUUGGUUUGGCUUGAGUCAGUCCUACUAUGUAGUAGCCCUGGCUGGUCUGGAACUCACUGUGUAGACCAGGAUGGCCUUGAAUUCACAAAGAUCCCCUUGCUUCUACCUCCUGGGUGCUGGAAUUAAAGGUGUAUACCACUAUAUCCCCCCACCCCUUUGAAGUUGUUGUUUUGUUUUGUUGUUUUGUUUGAGGAAGCAUCUUGUCUGGAGUCCAGGCUGGCCUUGAACUCCCUAUGAGGCCCAAAAUAGUCUUGAAUUCAAAAUCCUUUAUCCUUCUUCUAUAGCCUCUGAAGUGUUAUAUGCACCAUGACAUCUUGUUAGUUCUACCUUUUGCUACUAGUGAUUUUAGUAUUGUAAAAACUGAGUACUUCACUGGGUGUGGUGGCACACGCCUUUAAUCCCAGCCCUCGGGAGGCAGAGGCAGGCAGAUUUCUGAGUUCCAGGCCAGCCUGGUCUACAAAGUAAGUUCCAGGGCUANNNNNNNNNNNNNNNNAAAAAACCAAAAAAAAAAAAAAACAACAGAGUACUUCAUUGUGAAAAUUAUAGUGACGUUAUUAAGAAAAUGACAACUAUAUUCUGUCCUUAAAAGGUCUCUUUUAAACAGUGGUGUAUAUGUAUGGAAAUGUAACAAUACCCAUUAUUUUGUAUGCUAGCUAAAAAAUUAAUUUUAAAAAAAAUCUUAUUUAGACAUUGUAGAUUUAAAGUAAAAGAUUCAUGUGUGAUUAAUGUAUUAGAAUCUGUCAAUAAGUAAAAGAGCCAUUCUUGGCAAAUAGUUGCUGACAAAAUCACCAUUUUUUUUUCUUUAAAGAAAGAAAGAAAGCACUGACAAUAGAAAUUGUUAUUCAGGGUUACUAAGAUUUUUGUCUUGCAGGAACUUGUUUUGGGGGUUGUUUGUGUUUUCUUUCCUGAGAUGGUGUCUCAAGAACCCUAGGCUAGCCUCAACCUAUAUUUAGCUGGUCCUCUUUUCUCUACCUUUGAAGUGCUAGGGUCAUAGAUGUAUAACACCAUAGCUCUGUCUUUUUACUUCUAGACACACAGGUUGACCAGAUGUGUGGUCUGGACUCCCCUCUCCCCCUUCCAUUGUGAGGUACCAUAUUCAGCAUAUUCCAACACUUCUAAAAGCAAGACUCCAUACCAAACAGACCAUGGUAGCUAAUGCCUGUGCUCUCAGUCAUAGGAGGCUGAAGCAGGAGGAUGGACAGUUCCAGAGACCUUGGUUGAAUGGAUGAAUGGGUAUCGUCCAAGCACAGAGUUGCAGUUACUGCAGAGGCUAGGCAGCAUAUGUGCCAAGCCCCGUGCUGGCUGCUAUGGUGCACCGCACAGACCUGAAGUCCAUGUAUGUUCUGGCUCUAUGUGGUAAUCUCCCCACCAUGACUGGAGGUAAGGGGCUGUGCCUAUCAAUCUCCACUGUACCCCACCCAGCCUAGACAGCUGACCUCAAAAGCCCGGAAGAUGGCAGGUAGGUGUGUGCCUAAAUUCUACAUUAACAUGACCAUAGACACUUUCAGUCUAAACCUUACUGUUUUAGAAAUGGCCAUUUAUAGUGUUUCAAAGAUUUGGGUUUUAUUGUGGUUACUGGGUCUUGAAAGAAACUGUUCCUGAGGUAAGCACCGAAUGAAGCAGGCAUGUGAUCGCUUUAGAUUAUUUCAGUGUGAAAUUUCUGUAAAAAAAAUACACAAGUUUAAGGUAGGCAUGGUGGCACACAUCUUUAAUCCCAACAACUGAGUAGAUGGAGGGAGACGGAUCUCUUCAAGUUCAAGGCUAGCCUGGUUUAUAUUCAGGAGUGCUCACUCUAGAUAGGUAGGUAGGAGGUAGGGAAGUAGGUAGGUAGGUAGGUAUCUCUGAUUCAAAUGUAGUCAAAUAUAGGCAAUCUGAAUUCUAACUUAUCCACGACUACUCAGACCUGAGAACUGUUACCUGAUCUUAUGCUAAAUAAGAAGGGAGUCUGUCUGAGAGUUGCUGAGAGGGCUGCUGGUUUGUCUGUCUUAAGUCUCCUCAAAGCCCAGCAGGAGCCCUUCCAGAACUAGAUGGUCAGUGGCUGUGCUGGAGGAGGCCCCUUUCAGGCUACAGGCAGAGAAUGACAAUGUCACACAUAUCAGGGAACAUUAUUCCUCCUGAUGUUAAGAAAAUAACUCUCCAACAGAAGUCACAUCUUAAGUGAUAAUUGGGUGGGUUGUUUUGUUUUGUUUAAUUAAAGCUUCAAAGUAAGAUUAAAGAUUGAAUUUAGGUAGAAUUAGCAUUAAUAGUCAAUCUUUUCUGUAAUUUAUAACAAGAAAAAAAAAGUGUCCCCAAAGUUAUGGUUAGAUUAGUUAAAUAUUGUAGUAAGGAGAGAAAUCCAUGGAGACCUCAGGAUAAUAAGCAGGGGUUAGCAGAAAGGUGACACUGUUCAUUUCUGUGACAUUUCUGGCUAAACAAGCUUUUGUAGACCCACUGGGAAUGUAACCACUAUUUCCAUGGGAAAAUAAAUUCCAGGUUCCAGACAAGUAAUUUAGAGAUGUUGUGGAACACAGCCACUAAUAAGUUUAGACUUGUGUGCUCCAGAGGCCCCAUCGCACCAUUGUGAUAGAUAGCCAGAGUUCAGCAGUAAGGGGAAAUGGGGUAAAUCGACUCUUACAGAUAAAAUGAAGAUUAACUAUGAUCAUAGCUCAGAAGAGAAGACUGUCAAAGACCGAAACCACCAUAGCACAGAAGAAAGGGGAACCCCAGUGACUCAGAUCAGAUCGUCCCCCUUACUCUGUAUGUAGUGCUGCUCCUAGGUGUCACAUGAUAUAAUAGAUAUUUGUGCUUUGUUUUAUUCUGUUUGUUUUGUUCUAGUAAGAGAGACAAGGCCUCAGACUAGUCUGGAAUUAACACUGUAAACCAGACUGGCCUGGAAACUGUGGCAGUCCUUCAGUCCCAGACUCCCAAGUGUUAGGAUUACAGGCAUUCAUUAGCCAUCAUGUCUGGCUUUAUUUUAGACUUAGAACCAGAAGGAGGAACAGUGCAGUGGCUCACUUGCUGCACUACCCUGGCAACCUGGUUCAAUCCCUGGCCCCCAGAUAAAGGUGAUAGGAGAGGUCUGACUGCACCAAGCAGCCCUCUGACCCUCACAUGUGCAUGCACCGUGGAACUCAGGCCGCUGCCACACGAUAACGAAUAAUUCUCUAAUCAGAAUAGGAAAGUGAUGAGGCCAGAGCCUUCUGUUUGCCUGCUACUCUACUGCCUCUUGUUGUGCCUCCAUUUCUGACUUAAGGUGACAGGGCAGAGCGUUGCCCAGCAUACCCAAGGCCUAGAGUUUGGUCCCCAGCCCUAGUUUAAAAAAGGCUUAAUAUAGUGUGUCUGCAUGUGCUUCUGGACUAGAUCAAAAACAGUGACAGGAAACACUGCUGCUAUGUUGAUAAAAUGUGUGGCAUCACCACACAUGAGAUAGAUAGAUACACACACACACACACACACACACACAGUUGCUGGCAGCACUAAAUACAUCCAUGGGAACUUGUUGGCUAAUCAGGAUAUGUCCCACCUAGAACAUCUCGUCAAAAUGUAGUGUGACCAUGCUAUUAUAUUAAGAUCACCCUGUAAAAUAGACAUGAAGGAGCUGACAAGAUGCAUGGAAUCAUGGGGGCGGGAGAUGCAAUGCAAAGUUUUUUUUUCUUGUGGAAAAUCAAAAUAAAUAGGUGUUGUGUGUUGUAGUUUAACUGUGAAAUGCCACACCCUAUCUUACACUGGCCUUUUUUGCCCACUGAUGACCUUGUAGGAAGUGAUUAGAUGAUAAGGCUUCAGGAUUUGUAGAUGGAUUGAUCCACUGAUAGUUGAUCGUCUGAUGGCAUUGUUGAGUUCUGGUUGGAAGAAGUGGGCCACUGAUGUGUGCCUUUGAGAAAUGUAUCUUGUUCCCAGCAGUGCUUCUAGGUUCCUGCUUCCUGGUUGCCUGGAGGUGAGCAGCUUUACUCCUGUAUACUCAUCUGCCAUGAUGCUCUGUCUCACCAUGACCUAGAAACCUCUGACACAGUGAGCCAAAAUAAAUCUGCCCACCCUUUCAGUAGUUUCUUUCUGGUAUUUGGCACUUCAAAGGAAGUCUAAACACAGCUGAGUUGAUACUAAAGUCCAUAAAAGAAGAUUCUUUUUUUUUUUUCAAGAUUUUUAUUUAAAUGAGUACACCAUUUCUGUCUUCAGACACACCAGAAGAGGGCAUCAGAUCCUGUUACACAUGGUUGUGAGCCACCAUGUGGUUGCUGGGAAUUGAACUCAGGACCUCUGGAAGAGUAGUCAGUGCUCUUAACCUCUGACCCAUCUCUCCAGCCUAGAAAGAAGAUUCUAAACAUUGUUUACCCAUGAGUCAAAAAGAAUGUGUGGAUCUAGAGAGAGAUGUGUAAGAAAGAAGGAAGUGCUGGAGAGAGAGAAGGAGAAACGAAAAGUGUCAGGGGUGUUUUGUUUAUGUUUUUUGCUUUAUUUGGAGACAGGCUCAUAUAGCCCAUGAUGGCCUAGAACUCUGUAGCCAAGGUUAGCCUUGAACUUUUGGUCCUUUUGCCUCCAUGUAUAGACUCCUGGCAUUUCAGGCAUGAACCAACAUAGCCAGUUCAUGCAGAACUGAUUGAUGAUAGGACCCUAUCUCCCCAGCAAGUCCCAGUCAAAAUACCUUAUUUUAAAUAUUGACGCAAGUGGAUUUAAAGGGUAACUUUUUUUUUCCCCAAGUUUUGUUGUCACUAUAGAUGGCUCUAUACCAUAACAAAAAUUUUAUAAGCCUGUCUUUCGUUAUACAAGUUUCCUUUAAAUCAUUGGGUGUUUGGGGGUGGCAGAUGACAACACAUGAUGGGGACCCAACCUUUCAACUGAUUAAAUAAAAGUCGAUCUUCCCACAGUCACGAACCAUCUCUGUGUCCACAGGAGUUGUGUGUCUGUUCUAAAUGUAUGAGGGGCAGUUAUGUAAUUUACUACCAACAGAAUUUAUCCUUCAAAUGUCAUGUCGCAACAAUGGGUCACCUCCGUUUGUGGUAGGACACACAGGUGCUUCCUGUUGCCCUGCCCAGGACGAUGUUAACAUCAACCUCAGAGAAGGCCGUUGGACCAGCCUGGAGCCAAAUAGUAGCCACUGUGUCUGUAUUGAGGAGGUAGGGAGAACUGUUUCUUAAAAUGUAUUUAUUUGUUUCUGGUUUUGAGAGAAGAUUAUCACAUUAUAUGGCUCUGGGUAGCCUGAUACUGUGUACCCCAUGCAGGCUGCAAAUCACAGUAACCCAACUUAACUUGACUAACACUGAACCCAGAGGGAAGUACCACUGUGCCCAAGAACAGGAUUGGAGAGCUAGCCCAGCAUUAAGAGCACACCAAAGGAAUCCAAGCACUCACAUAGUGUCUAACAACCGUCUAUAACUCCAGUUCCAAAGGAUCCAACACGCUUUUCUGACCACUGUGGACACCAGGCAAGCAUGCAGUAUACAGACAUACAUGUAUGAAAAACACCUAUACUCAUAAAAUAUAAACAAAAUUUAAGAGCAAUAAAUCUGAGUGCUUUAUACAACAGUAGUUACUAGUGGUCAGGUAAGUUAUCACAAGUAAGUGUGUCGACCCCUGAGAUAAACUAAGAAAACAAUUCAUGGCAGCCAUAACGGUGCACACUCAUAUCCCAGUAUGAAAGAGGCUGAGGCAGGCUAAUACUGUGAGUUCAGAAGUUCAAGACCAGCUUGGCCAACAUAGUGUAACUCCGUGUCAAAGUAAGAAGGGCUGAGGAUGUAGUUCUCUUGGUAGUGUGUUUGCCUAGCGUGCAUAAAGCCCCAGCACUGUAUAAACAGAGUGUAGCAGUCUGUACCUAUAAUCCCAGCCGCUAAAGGCAAGAUCCAAAGUUCAAGGUCAUCGUCAGACACACACACACACACACACACACAGAGACUGUUUCAAACUAUGUGGGGUUGGGCGUGGGAGAAGGAAAGUAGAAUGGUGGGAUGCCAUUCUAAGAAACACCAUGUAACUGUUCUCACAGGCCAUUUGUCUUUUUGUUGCUACUGUUAGAAGGAAGUUUCUGUGUUCUUCAGAUCAAAUAUGUAUGUGUGUAUACAUAAAUAUAUAGAGUACAUAUGUAUUCCAACAUGGGAUCUUCAUUUUCUGCUGGAGGAGUAUGCUACUAUUCUCUUUCGCUUCAAGAAUAUCUUAGCUGAGAUGAGAAAAAUUAAGAUUCUUUAAAGACAUAUUUAUUUUAUGUGUCCGAGUGUUUUAUCUACAUGUAUGUAAAUGCAAGUGCCCUCAGAAGCCAAAAGGUGCUGGUGCUGGCUCCUGAGGCUGCAGUUAGAGUAGUUGUAAGGCAAGGUGUGGGUGCUGGAAACGAAACUGGGUCUUCAACCAGAGCAAUAAGGAAAAGUGAAUGAUUCUUUUAAGCAGGGAGGAACAAUUUGUGUAUUUAUCAUUCCAUUUGCUGAGCUCUUUGCCCAAACAAUAUUUCUAAUACUGUUGGUCACAGUGACACAUGCUUGUCUGUCUGUAGUCCCAAAUUUUCUAGAGACAGAAGCAACAGACCUCUACAGCCCAAGAGUCUGAAGUCUGUCUGGGCAAUAGAACAAGACCCAGAGAGGAGGGAGGGAGAGGAAGAGAGAGAAAGAGCGAGAAAGCAAACCGCAUGUAAGCAUUCUGGACAUGUGUGGGGUUUCUCAUUUCAACCAAUUCUCCCAACUCUCUGGUUAUAUAACCAAGUGUCCUACAGCUCAGUCAAAACUGACGCUGUGACACCAGUUACCAGGGCUUAUUAUCAGACCCCACAGGGUUAGUGGCUCAGUCACACAAGACAACCCUCACUUCAGGUGCUAGUUCCUAGUAUCAGGUCCUCAGGCUACCCCAACUAACAUCCCACGUGGCCAAAGUGAGGUUGUCCUACAACCUCUAGUUUAAAGAUUAGCUAGAACUCAUUAUACAAACAGCAACACUCCUGGUUUAUUACAGAGUCUAACCCUGGAACAACCAAAUGGAAGAACAAGAUGGCCAGGACACUGUGGAGGUGCUGGAGAGGCACGGGGUUUCGGUGUCCUCUCUGGACACAUCACCCUCUGAGCUCAGGUGUGUGGCCUCCAUCCUGGAAGCUUCCAUACCCUGGCAUGUGGGAUACUGAUGGCCAGGCACGUAGACAUGCUUAAUUAUUAACUCCAUCUCCUCCCCUCUUCCUUCCCCGAGGCCAUGGGGUAAGCAAAGCUUCCAGGCCUCUGAUCCAGGUUUGGUGUGUCUGGUCUCCAGUUAUUCCUAAGUUGUUUGGGGCAGGUCAAGAGUCACUCAUUAGAAAGAUACUCUUUUGACCCGGGAAUUCCAAGAGCUUUCAGAAGUCUGUGGACCAGGGACAAUGGCCAAAUAUCAGCACAGGAGGCACACACAUCUGUCAUCUGGAAGUUAUGUGGACCAGAGAGGCUUUGUGUCAGGAAGCAAGGAUAAAGAGCAUGGAUACGUUUCUUAUACAAUAUAUACAGACACACUAUCUUGAAAUAAAGCAAGAAGCAGUCAUCUAGCGCUGGGACUGGAGAGAUGGCUCAGUGGUUAAGGGCCUAGAUUCAGUUCCCAGGACCACGCAGAGGCUCAGUCUGUAACCCUAGUUCCAGANNNNNNNNNNNNNNNNNNNNNNNNNNNNNNNNNNNNNNNNNNGCUGGCCUCGAACUCAGAAAUCCACCUGCCUCUGCCUCCUGAGUGCUGGGAUUAAAGGCGUGCACCACCACACCUGGCUCUCUAUUUUAUUUGUGUGUGUGUGUGUGUGUGUGUGUGUGUGUGUGUGUGUGUGUCCUUGGCAUGUGGAGGUCAAAGGGUAACUUUAAGGAGUCAUUUUUUUCCCACCACAUAGGAAUCCCAUUCAGGUGACGAGGUCUCUGUCUUUCCCCACUGAGCCAUCUCACCAGCUAUUGGCUAAGAGUAUGUCAGCACACUACAAACACUUUUGUUUUAAGAAGGAAAAUCUUUUACUGGGUCUCAUGGCAUAUACUUUUUUUUUUUUUGAGACGCGUCUCACUAUGUACUCUGGGUAGCCUCAAACUUGCUAUGUAGACCACACUGGCCUGAAACCCAUGCCUCUUGCCUCUGCUUCCCCGGUGUGGCAUGCACUUUUAAUCGCAGCUCAGAGGCAGAGGCAGAGGCAGGUGGAUCUCUAUGAGUUUGAGGCCAGCCUGGUCUACUUAGUGACUUCCAGGCUAGCCGGGGCUACAAAAAUACAACAAAGAAAUGCUUUCUUUUCAAUUACAGAUAGUGAGUAUGUGCAGGUGAAUGCUGGUGCCCUCAAGGGUCAGAAUCCCCUGGACCUGGAGUUACAGGAGAUUGGGAGCUGCCCUGUGUAGGUCCUGGUACUGAAUGAGGCCUCUGCAAGUGCAGCAGGUACUCUGAACCACUGAGCCAUCUCUCCAGUCCCUGUAAAUACUUUUCAUCUUAACAUCUGGAAGGACCAGCAAGAUAGCUCAGCAGGUAAAGACACCUGCUACCAAGCCACAUGGCAAAAAGAAAACCAACUCCUCCUGAAAAUUGUCAUCUGACCUCCACUUGUGUGCCACGGUGUACACACACAAACACACACACAAGAUAUAACUGGUGUGUUCCUGUGUUUUGUUAGCUGUCUAUCCUCAGAGCUCCUCAGUUUCACACUCUUUCCUUCCCAGCGACUCAGUCCUUCCUGUCUUUCCUGACCUCAGCACUCCGGAAGAAUACUGCUCUUAAUUUGAUAGAAUUGGUACUUUGGUGUUUUUCCAGUGUUUUUUGUUUGUUUGUUUUCAUGAUUAGAUGAAGGUUGGUAUAUUUUUUGCAAGAAUCUCAGAUGUAAUGACCUGUAGGUGAUGUCAAUGUAUUAUUAAUAAGUAUAUCAUUUUCUGUCACCUCCAUAACAAGUUACCACAGAUUUGCUGUCUGAAAGCAACACCCAUUUCUUAUCUCAGCUUCUGGUGGUCAGAACUAUGAGUAACUUGUGCAAUGCUAAAAGUUCCUCUGUGGGUUGGACAGCCUUCUCAUCCAGGUUAGGUACUUGCCCGUUCCUUUCUCUAAGCUACUAGGAGAUAUUUCCAUAGGAUUGCCACAUGACCGCCAUCUACAAAGGCAGCAGCUGUUCCUGCAAGCAGACCUCACACUUUCCCUACUUCUAGACUCAAGUCUGAAAUGUUGCAUAAAGUUGGGCAUAUGGCACAUCCCUGUAAUCCCACCGCCUGGAAGGCAGCCUGAAGUUAAGGACUGCUGCAAAUCUGAGUCCAGCCUAGAGUACAAACUGAGACCACAAUGCGAGACCCUAUUUCAAAGAAAGGAAGAAGAUGGGGAAAGAGGAAGGGAGGGAGGGAAAAUGGUUGUUUUCACUGGUGGUGGUGAGCCACCCAGUGUUGGUGCUGGAACUGAACUUGAGUCCCCGCAAAAGCAGUACAAGCUCUCAACCACUGAGCCGUCUCUGCCACAUGGCUUUAUUUUUUUAUUUAAAAAAACAAACAAACAAACAAAAAAGACCUAAGAAAA